UACAGGGGGGGGCAAGCGUUGUUCGGAAUUACUGGGCGUAAAGCGUGCGCAGGCGGUUAUGUAAGACAGAUGUGAAAUCCCCGGGCUCAACCUGGGAACUGCAUUUGUGACUGCAUAGCUAGAGUACGGUAGAGGGGGAUGGAAUUCCGCGUGUAGCAGUGAAAAUGCGUAGAUAUCAGGAGGAACACCGAUGGCGAAGGCAGGUCUCUGGGCUGACACUGACGCUCAUGCACGAAAGCGUGGGGAGCAAACAGG
rnacentral:rRNA from 1 species